CGCGUAGCUGUACUGAGAGGUAGAACAGCCACAAUGGGACUGAGACACGGCCCAUACUUCUACGGGAGGCAGCAGUAGGGAAUUUUUCACAAUGGGCGAAAGCCUUAUGAAGCAAUGCCGCGUGAACGAUGAAGGUCUAUAAGAUUGUAAAGUUCUUUUAUUUGGGAAGAACCACUAAAAUAGGAAAUGAUUUUAGUUUGACUGUACCAUUUGAAUAAGUAUCGGCUAACUAUGUGCCAGCAGCCGCGGUAAUACAUAGGAUGCAAGCGUUAUCCGGAUUUACUGGGCGUAAAACGAGCGCAGGCGGAUUUGUAAGUUUGGUAUGAAAUCUAGAUGCUUAACGUCUAGCUGUAUCAAAAACUACGAAUCUAGAGUGUAGCAGAGAGUUGGGGAACUCCAUGUGGAGCGGUAAAAUGCGUAGAUAUAUGGAAGAACACCGGUGGCGAAGGCGCCAACUUGGACUAUUACUGACGCUUAGGCUCGAAAGUGUGGGGAGCAAAUAGGAUUAGAUACCCUAGUAGUCCACACCGUAAACGAUCAUCAUUAAAUGUCGGCUCGCUUAUGAGUCGGUGUUGUAGCUAACGCA
rnacentral:rRNA from 1 species